GCGUCUUGGAAGAGUGUUGCCAUCGUAUACGCUAAAAGCUGAUUGGCUCCGCCAUCUUUUGCUCAGAUUUCCGGAUUCAUUUGGAAGGGGUAAACAGAUGAUCAGUUGUUUAUUUUGGUUUUUAUUUUUCGUUUACUCUGGUUUAACCUCACUUAACUAGAUAGAUCGAGAAAUAUUAAAUUACUAUUACUAUUAUUCAGGUUGAAAAAUGCCUUCCUCUAAGGUAAAAGGUUGCGAAGUCGAUUGGGGGGAAAAAUAAUGUGAAAAUGAAUUCUUUCCCAAAAGAAUCUGAACGACGGAAAGUGUGGAUUAAAAAUAUAGGGUUAAAACAAGAUCCAAACAAAUAUGCUGUUGUUUGUGAAGAACACUACUUCUGACAUGUGGAAAAAAGUUAGACAAGAUGGCAGCAGAAAAUUAAAAUGCAAUGCUGUACCAACAAUAUUUAGAGAAGAAAGCGAAAGUAUUUAAUUAUUUAUAUUGGUUUUUUGUUUAUUCACCAAUUUAACACCUAUAGAUAUUUGUAUAACAAGAGAGUGAAGUGCACCUUUUCCUCCCAAGAAUAAAGUUUACUAGUUUACUACAGUAAUCAUUCAAGGGAGGAAAAGGCACUUCUCCCAUGUUAUACAUUUUUCCACCUCCCUCAAAUAAGUCAUUUUUUCAUUUUUUAAAUAUUUAUAUAACUGUUGAUUGAAUACAUGAAUCAUAAUUGAAUACAGGAAUUUGUGUAUUCAAUCAACAAUAGAAGUAACAAAAUUUAUUAGAGAACUAAAACUAACAAUUAAGUACAGUAUAACUAUCAAAUUAUUAAUGAGAAAUUUUUAAAUCAAAAUAACAAUUUACUGUUUUUACCAUUUUGCAACAUCUAUAAAUAAAAUUUAAAAUGUAUGGAUACUUACCUAAUAGAAAAUAGAGUAAUAGUAUAGGGUGUCAAUAAGUUAUUUCAUCUAUGCUAUGACAUAGUAUGAUGUCAACAUCACUUUUACUUUUACUCCCUAGGGAUUAAAAGUACUUUGUUUCCCUAGGGAGAAAAAAAUAUGACUGCUCCCUACAAUGAGGCCAGGAAAUGUAUACUUUGGAUAGAGGUAGGUGGGAAAAUCUGUUUUAUUCAGUUAUUGUGAUUUGUUUCUUACAGACAAUCGGUUUGUUCUAGCACGAGUUUCAAACGGUCUGAAACCAUUAGCGAAUAGUGGACCAGCGCGAGUAGAGGGAAUAGCACUCGUAACUGUAUUAUGUUCUCUCACUGACCAACUGUUUGCUGACUAGUUCGACUGUUUGCUAGAACAAACCUAUUAUUCAAACAAAAUGUCCUCUACGUCAGACUGAUCAGAAUUUUAAAAAUGUGUCAUAUCAAUCAAAUCAAAAAAUUUCAAAAAUUGUUCCUGUAACCAUUUUUAGUGGAAAUAAUAACAGUACUUAUAUUGGAUCAGAGAGCCACCCAAUUCAUUGUUAAAGUAUGAUAAACUAAAAGUUAAACAAUUAGGCAUGCACUUCAUAUUAUAUUUAAUGAAAUAUAACCCACUGGUACUCGUACAAACUUGACGGCAAGCAAAUUCAACAAAUUUUUCCUCAUUUAUUAGUUUUUCACUACCGUUAAGUUUGGAAACAAGCGCUGUUGCCAAAUAAAAACAUAUACAGUCGGAAAAAUGAAAGAAUACCCAUGAACGAUCACAUCAAUCACAUAUUUUGUAUUUGCUGUUUUUUUUUCAUAAAUAAUAAAUGAGAGAGAUAGAUUAUUAAUAAUCUGAAUAUGUGAUUGAUGUGAUCGUUCAUGGGUAUUCUUUCAUUUUUUCGACGGUAUGUAUUUACCACAGCAACUACAGGUGACACUGUUUCUCUUUGUCUUUAAGAGUGUGAAACAAAGAUAACUACAGUGGGAAAAAUAAAGAAUACCCAUGAACGAUCAGAUCGAUCACUUAUUUUGUUUCCUAUCUUUUUCUAUAACAAACGUUUAUUAUUUAUAGAAAAAGACAACAAACAUAAAUUAAGUGAUUGAUGUGAUCGUUCAUGGGUAUUCUUUCAUUUUUCCAACUGUAUCUGUAAUAUACGCUGUUAAUUAAAAAAUCGCGAGAGCCAGUAGUGACAAGUCUGUAAACCUUUACUGGAAAUUUGACAUAAAUGUCAAAGUGAAUAAUUUAAAAUUGAAAUUAAAAACAUUAAUCAGAAAAAAUAUUAGUUGGUCAAAGCUGUGGUAUAUAUUUUUAUCUUAAGUAUACUUACGGUUUAAAUACUGAAUUAAGUUUUUUUAAAAUUUUGUAAUAUCUAAUUAUAAUUAGAUAUAAAUCAUCUAAGUGCCAUCUACACGAUAAUUGUGAAUGUAUCUGAAGUAAGAAAUUAAUAUUUCAUUAAGAGAACGUUAAAACAGUUAGCAAAAUUUUUAAAAAAUCGAUUACAAUUUAAUUACUUUUUUGCGUUGUAAAUAUUAAGCGAUAAAAUUAAAUAAUAAAUUUAAAAAUUACUGGUGAAAGUUGAAUUAGUAAUCCGCUAGGAGCGACACCAGCGAAGCUCAGAGCGUAUAAGUGGGUGUGUUUGGACGACCAUAGCGGCUGACUGUCAGCAGAAAUCGGCUGAGUGGUUGUAUCCAGCUGUGAUAGGGAAAGCUUAGUAAAUCUCUCAGCGGCUGACUUCCAGCGGUGACGUCUGACAGCUACUGCUGGCUCAGCUGUCCAGCCGCUGUGGUCAUCCGAACGCACCCAGUGUCAGUCAUGUUUUCCUAUAGUAUAGAAGGCUUAGAUAGAAGGUUAUGUAAGAUUUUUGUUUGUUUAUUUUUUCUUCUUCUUUUGUGGCCUUUGGAAGCUGUGCGCAUUUAGCCAGCGACAUUUCUUAAAAUGAAUGCCUAACUAAACCUACCAUACAAGAAAACCUAAACGACCAAUCAAGGAUACGGAAGGGAAAGUAAAGUUAUUUAAAAAAUAAACUGUUGUUAAAAUAUAAACUAAAUAAAUAAAAUAUAAAUUGAAAACAAUAAUUUGACAUUAUAAAUGUAACCUCCAAUAUUAUGACAGACGUCAGUUACUAUGACAUCAUAUAUUAUACUCGUCACUAAUUCUAGCCAAUGAAAUGCUUGCUGUAAUAGGAAUGGCAUAUCAAAAAAAUCUGACUAUUCUCUAUAUAUUUUUUCAAAUUUAGAAUAUGGCAACAAGGGGAAAGUUAUGUGCAUUCCUCAUUGUUUGACUUUUCCUAUAUCUUUAGUAUCAGGUCAUCGUACAAUACAAAUACUUCCUGCAAUGAUUGGAAGUAAUGCAGAACAAGAAUUGAAUUUGGAAUCGCCGAGAAAAAGGAUUGGUGUACAAAAUAAGAAAGUAUAUAAAGGACAACAAACAUCUUCCAUAAGCGAUCAAAAUUGUAUAACUGAAAUUCAGGAAAUAGAUUCUGCUCCACCUUUAG
rnacentral:lncRNA from 1 species